CGUAAUGAGCUGUCUAGCUGCAGUCUGCAUGGCUUUGUAGAGACACAUCAUUAUAUC
ensembl:miRNA